rnacentral:rRNA from 1 species
AUUGAACGCUGGCGGCAUGCCUUACACAUGCAAGUCGAACGGCAGCACGGGUGCUUGCACCUGGUGGCGAGUGGCGAACGGGUGAGUAAUACAUCGGAACAUGUCCUGUAGUGGGGGAUAGCCCGGCGAAAGCCGGAUUAAUACCGCAUACGAUCCACGGAUGAAAGCGGGGGACCUUCGGGCCUCGCGCUAUAGGGUUGGCCGAUGGCUGAUUAGCUAGUUGGUGGGGUAAAGGCCUACCAAGGCGACGAUCAGUAGCUGGUCUGAGAGGACGACCAGCCACACUGGGACUGAGACACGGCCCAGACUCCUACGGGAGGCAGCAGUGGGGAAUUUUGGACUAUGGGCGAAAGCCUGAUCCAGCAAUGCCGCGUGUGUGAAGAAGGCCUUCGGGUUGUAAAGCACUUUUGUCCGGAAAGAAAUCCUUGACUCUAAUACAGUCGGGGGAUGACGGUACCGGAAGAAUAAGCACCGGCUAACUACGUG